UACGGGGGGAGCAAGCGUUGUUCGGAUUUACUGGGCGUAAAGGGCGCGUAGGCGGCCACCGCAAGUCGAUUGUGAAAUCUCCGGGCUUAACCCGGAAAGGUCAACCGAUACUGCGGGGCUAGAGUGCGGAAGGGGCAACUGGAAUUCUUGGUGUAGCGGUGAAAUGCGUAGAUAUCAAGAGGAACACCUGCGGCGGAGGCGGGUUGCUGGGCCGACACUGACGCUGAUGCGCGAAAGCUAGGGGAGCGAACGGG
rnacentral:rRNA from 1 species